rnacentral:rRNA from 1 species
UACGGAGGGAGCUAGCGUUAUUCGGAAUUACUGGGCGUAAAGCGCACUAGGCGGCUUUGUAAGUAAGAGGUGAAAGCCUGGAGCUCAACUCCAGAACUGCCUUUAGACUGCAUCGCUUGAAUCCAGGAGAGGUGAGUGGAAUUCCGAGUGUAGAGGUGAAAUUCGUAGAUAUCUGGAGGAAUACCGGUGGCGAAGGCGGCAUCCUGGACCGGCAUUGACGCUGAGGAGCGAAAGCCAGGGAGCAAAGCGGG